GACGAACGCUGGCGGCGUGCUUAACACAUGCAAGUCGAACGGAAAGGCCCUGCUUUUGUGGGGUGCUCGAGUGGCGAACGGGUGAGUAACACGUGAGUAACCUGCCCUUGACUUUGGGAUAACUUCAGGAAACUGGGGCUAAUACCGGAUAGGAGCUCCUGCUGCAUGGUGGGGGUUGGAAAGUUUCGGCGGUUGGGGAUGGACUCGCGGCUUAUCAGCUUGUUGGUGGGGUAGUGGCUUACCAAGGCUUUGACGGGUAGCCGGCCUGAGAGGGUGACCGGCCACAUUGGGACUGAGAGACGGCUCAGACUCCUACGGGAGGCAGCAGUGGGGAAUAUUGCACAAUGGGCGGAAGCCUGAUGCAGCAACGCCGCGUGCGGGAGGACGGCCUUCGGGUUGGAAACCGCUUUCGCCUGUGACGAAGCGUGAGUGACGGUAAUGGGUAAAGAAGCACCGGCUAACUACGUGC
rnacentral:rRNA from 1 species